UGGCUCUUGACACAUAAAACAGAGUAAACUAAGAGAGGGCCAAAAGGAAGAGGGAGUCACCCACAAGCAAAAGAAAGGCAAAAAUUUCCAAUGGAGAAGAAACUGUAUAGGAGGAAAGAUGAGCUGCACCUAAACAAUUAGUGAGAGUUUGGGAUGGGGUUUGGCAAAGCAUAAAGCAAGUGAUGUUGAUGCCCUUAGUAAUGAUCAGAGAGUCACAUGCCCGUGCCAACAUUUAGCAGUCCUUUCUUCUCAUCUUUUUGAGUUAUUUUUCCACAUUAUGUGGUCCGACCUCUCUUAUCUUAUCACAUUCAACCCCCAUCUCUCUUUUCAUCACUAAACUAGGUCACAUCAAACCAUUACUACUCAUGAUUCUUCCUUUUCUCUCAGCCAACUUGGAGGGGUCUCUCCUUCUUUCCCACUUCAAUGAGUUUCCAACUCUAACCACCUUCUCUAACUCCUCUUUUUAAUCCCUCCCUUUAUGUGUAUCUUAUAGUUUGUCACUAGCUCGAUUACACCUUUCUUCCUUGAUAAUUUUUCUUUGUUAUUUCUUGAAUUUCAGACCCUUACCAGAAUUCCUAACAAUGCCACCUGUGCACUCUAGCCCUUACUUCCAAAUGAAUAAUCCAGCUAUAUUGUCUUUGCUCCGGCUAACCGCCGGCGAGAAGCGCUCGAAAUCUAGUUCCGGCGGGCUUCUUAAAAUGUUCAAACUCUUCCCCAUGUUAACCUCGGGUUGCAAGAUGGUUGCACUUCUAGGUAGGCCUCGAAAACCCUUACUUAAAGAUAAUGCUACUACAGGUACCAUUUUCGGUUAUCGCAAAGGGAGAGUAAGUCUAGCCAUACAAGAGGAUCCUCAUUGCGUGCCUAUGUUUGUUAUAGAACUACCCAUCCAUACGAGUGCGUUUCACAAAGAAAUGGCAUCUGAUAUAGUAAGAAUCGCGCUAGAGAGCGAGACCAAGACUCAUAAGAAGAAAGUGCUGGAAGAGUUUGUGUGGGCUGUAUAUUGUAAUGGAAGAAAGAUUGGCUACUCUAUUAGAAGGAAGCAAAUGUCCGAUGAUGAGCUUCAUGUUAUGCAGCUUUUGAGGGGCGUUUCGAUGGGUGCAGGUGUUCUUCCAAGCCCAAAUGACAAGGAAAGUACAGCAGAUGGUGAAUUGACCUACAUAAGAGCAAGGUUUGAGAGAGUUGUGGGUUCCCAGGAUUCCGAAGCUUUGUAUAUGAUUAAUCCAGAUGGUGCACCAGGGCCAGAAUUGAGUAUUUUCUUUGUCAGGGCUCAUUAGAAAUUCUAGGCUCUAUGUCUAAACUUUAAUUUCUUGUUUAUUCGUAACAGGAAACGAGCUGGUGUGAUUUUCAGAUUUCCAGUCCCAUCCCAUGGAUUUUUCAGGGUUGAUCAGUGUUUGCAAUACCUUAAAUUAACACAAUUCCAUGCCAAUUACCUGGAAAUUAUUUUCUUUUCAUAACUGUAACCAGGAUAGUUUGCUGCUGUUACAUUAAAAAGCCAAUUUCACAGGUGAAUUUCUGAAGUAUCAAUAUAAUAUAGCUCGUAAAAUUUCGCACUUGUACAUCUGCAAUUUGCCGUGGGAAAACAGAAACAGAGGAUAACAAGAAAACUCUCUUCCAGGUUGAUUCUUGAAUUUAGUUGUCGAGAGAAUAAGUUUCCCAUUAACUACUUCCACCUUAAAAGACUUUCUGUCUAAACAAACAAAAUUUUGUUCGGUAAAAUGAUAAGAAUUUGCCUAAUUUUACAUAUCCGACAUAUAAGAUUGUGAAAAAGUAUACUCUUUUAAUUUUUCCCUCGCAUAUUUUCUAUCAGGAAAAUUUUACUGAUCCAUCAUGCACGAUGAAGACAAUCUGAGGUGAAACACCGAAAGCAAAAACGCGGGGAACAUUGUGUGGUUUUAAUUGAAUCGGCAAAUCAAAAGAGUUGGCAGCAGCUCAUUCAAUAUCAAAGCUUGGCGUAGGGCAAUGAGCAGAGAUGUGGAAAAUUUUACCCAAAAAUAAAUGAAAUGUCGAAUGCUGUUCCGAGUCUCCAUCGAUCCUUAUCUAGAGAAAUGAAGGUUGUAACAACUCAGCAAGAGGGUCUCCAUCCCAGAGAACAUGAGUGUGGAGUAUGGACCACCAUUUUACUAGAGCAGCUUCUGCUGCGCCCUCUUGAUAGUCACCAACACAAUGUUUGUAUCCAUCAUGUACCUUCAUUCUUACCGUCAUACUCUUUCAUCCACUUUCUAUUUAUUUAUGUUGGAUAUUCCUACACUAGUUUACACAUACCAAAAUUAAAUGGUGAAAUACAAUUUGAUCCCUAAAUAUUAU
rnacentral:misc_RNA from 1 species